GCCGGAGUGGCGGAACUGGCAGACGCGCGCGACUCAAAAUCGCGUGCCCAAAAGGCGUGCGGGUUCGAUUCCCGCCUCCGGCA
rnacentral:tRNA from 1 species